rnacentral:lncRNA from 1 species
UCCAUGGGUUAAUAUAUCUCCAAGUUCCUCGUCUUCUGAGCUAUCAACAUCUUCCAUUCCUUGAUUUCUUCGUUCCGAUCUAAUCAAAUCUCUGAAACAUACUAAAACUUCCAAAGCAUUGCUUCCCAAUGAGUGGCGGGUGUCUCCAAGUUGUGGUCUUGCUUGGCUAAAUGCACUCUCCGAUGCAACAGUGGAAAUUGG